rnacentral:rRNA from 1 species
GACGAGCGCUGGCGGCGUGCUUAACACAUGCAAGUCGAGCGGUAAGGCCCUUUCGGGGGUACACGAGCGGCGAACGGGUGAGUAACACGUGGGUGACCUGCCCUUAGCUCUGGGAUAAGCCUGGGAAACUGGGUCUAAUACCGGAUAUGACUCCAUGACGCAUGUUGUGGGGUGGAAAGCCUUGUGCGGCUAGGGGAUGGGCCCGCGGCCUAUCAGCUUGUUGGUGGGGUGAGGGCCUACCAAGGCGACGACGGGUAGCCGGCCUGAGAGGGCGACCGGCCACACUGGGACUGAGACACGGCCCAGACUCCUACGGGAGGCAGCAGUGGGGAAUCUUGCGCAAUGGGCGAAAGCCUGACGCAGCGACGCCGCCGUGGGGGA